rnacentral:rRNA from 1 species
AACGAACGCUGGCGGCAGGCCUAACACAUGCAAGUCGAGCGCACCCUUCGGGGCGAGCGGCGGACGGGUUAGUAACGCGUGGGAACGUACCCUUUUCAAUGGAAUAGCCUCGGGAAACUGAGAGUAAUACCAUAUAAGCCCUUCGGGGAAAGAUUAUCGGAAAGGAUCGGCCCGCGUUAGAUUAGAUAGUUGGUGGGGUAAUGGCCUACCAAGUCUACGAUCUAUAGCUGGUUUUAGAGGAUGAUCAGCAACACUGGGACUGAGACACGGCCCAGACUCCUACGGGAGGCAGCAGUGGGGAAUCUUAGACAAUGGGCGCAAGCCUGAUCUAGCCAUGCCGCGUGUGUGAUGAAGGUCUUAGGAUCGUAAAGCACUUUCGCCAGGGAUGAUAAUGACAGUACCUGGUAAAGAAACCCGGCUAACUCCGUGCCAGCAGCCGCGGUAAAGU